rnacentral:misc_RNA from 1 species
GUCACCAGAGAUGCAUGAUACAGUAAUUCCGCGUAUACCGGCGAACUGAUUUUACAUCAUAAUCAAAUUCCAAGGAAGAAAAACCUAUACCAUAAAAACCUCAAAGCUCAAACCUUUACACAGAAUUCCUUGUGAUUGCACUCUACCAUAAAUUCAUUAAAACAGGCAAACCGAUUAGCUCUAAUCAAGUUCUCAUAUAAGCUGAAACAUCAGGGCAAGGAAAGUGUACAAANNNNNNNNNNUCAGAUAUACUUCACCUACAACAAGCUCUUGACAUUCACAUCUUGAUCAUCCUAAGCAGCAAUUCCUCUAUUUUCUUAUCUAUUGGCAACACUAUAGCCACCAACAUAACCAGCAGAGUUUUUAGUCACAACAUCAGUAGCUGCAUUUCCAAGCCCAAAGCCAAAUGAGCCAGAACCCUCUACCUCUAAAGGUGA